GUCCCAGUAGCGCAAUGAAUAGCGCAUUGGACUUCUAAUCCAAAACUCGUAGGUUCGAAUCCUACCUGGGAUG